CAGUCGCCACGGUAAUACAGAGGAUGCAAGCGUUAUCCGGAAUGAUUGGGCGUAAAGCGUCUGUAGGUGGCUUUUCAAGUCCGCCGUCAAAUCCCAGGGCUCAACCCUGGACAGGCGGUGGAAACUACCAAGCUGGAGUACGGUAGUGGCAGAGGGAAUUUCCGGUGGAGCGGUGAAAUGCGUUGAGAUCGGAAAGAACGCCAACGGCGAAAGCACUCUGCUGGGCCGACACUGACACUGAGAGACGAAAGCUAGGGGAGCAAAUGGGAUUAGAUACCCGCGUAGUCCCUGUCUCUUAUAC
rnacentral:rRNA from 1 species